rnacentral:misc_RNA from 1 species
GAAAUGCGAUAAGUAAUGUGAAUUGCAGAAUUCAGUGAAUCAUCGAAUCUUUGAACGCACAUUGCGCCCCCUGGUAUUCCUGGGGGCAUGCCUGUUCGAGCGUCAUUUCACCACUCAAGCCUCGCUUGGUAUUGGGCAACGCGGUCCGCCGCGUGCCUCAAAUCGACCGGCUGGGUCUUCUGUCCCCUAAGCGUUGUGGAAACUAUUCGCUAAAGGGUGUUCGGGAGGCUACGCCGUAAAACAACCCCAUUUCUAAGGUUGACCUCGGAUCAGGUAGGGAUACCCGCUGAACUUAAGC